GUUUUAUUGAUAAAAUCUCAGAUCUAGUAAUGUACAAGUAUAAUUAUCAAUGAUUUGGUAUAAAAUAUUGGUAAAAUGAUAUGUUCAUAUGGAAUGUAUAGUAUAUUAAAGAGAGUAUGUACAAUGAUGAUCAAAACAUCACACUCUUUCAUGGGAAUGUAAAUAAUGAUCACAUAAAAAAAAUCCAGAUAUGUGUAUAUACAUAAUAAUCAAUGACUUAAUAUUGCAGUAAACAAUUGCUUUCUAAAAUUAAAAUCGUGUUAUAAAAAAUAUCAAUAACCAAAAAAAGUAAAACAUGUCAUCAGAGACAAGAGUAUCAGAUCUGUGUUACAGUUUUUUCAAAUAACUUUAUUUCUGAAGAAUAUAAUCUCAUUUAAAGAACAGUUGAUAUACUUCUCAUGGAAAUGAAUUCUUAUUUAGAUAAUGCAGAAAAAAAGGAUAAUAUAACAAAAUGAAUAAAAAUAGAAUUUUUUAUUUUUACUAAAUUGAACAACAUAAUAAAAUCUCUUAAUUCUUUUAUUAAAUGCCAAUAACACUAUUGCAUGUUAUCCUCUAAGUGAUUGAAAACUAUAAUCUCAUAGAUUCAAUUACAUUUAAUAGUACAACAACAGUAUUGAUGUUUGUAAAAAACAAAAAAAGAUUUCAGUGUCAAGCAUUUCACAACAGUAACUGUACAAAUAGUUUCCAGUCUUAAUCAUAAAUAAAGAAUAGAGAGAAUAAAGACAAAUUGUGAAAAUUGGAGUCUGAGAUUGCAAUUUUUUUUGGUAAAUUCAAAAAUUCCCCCCAAAAAAGGAGUAUUUUUUAAACAUGUGAACUUAGUUGUGGAUUCUUUACAUAUUUUGUAUAAAGUGUGAUUCAUUUUGCUUUUAUUACAGUUUGAAUGGAAUUCUUAUUUUACAAAAAUGUUAAACAAAAAAACAAUAUUCUUCAAAUGUUUUUGCCUUCAAUCAAAACCAAAAAUAAAAUAAAUUGUUAAAAAAAAUGAAUAUAAAAUUUUAUAAAUGAUGUAAAUACAUUUAAAAUCCAUGUAACUUCCUUGAUAUGUUCAAUAACACUUAAAUAAGCUCCAUUAUCUAGAUAUAGUCAAAUAAAACUUUAUAUAUUUACAAAUGGUGCUAAGUCCUAUUCAUUCUACCUCUAUGAUAUGAAAAGUGUACAGUUCGGUUAGGUUUUGUUUUAAAAAAAUGUUUUAAAGCUGUUGAGAAAAAAAUAUGACAAGUAUUUGUGGUCACAAUCAAAAUUUCAAACAUUUAAUAUUAUAAUCAAUCUGUUUCUUUAAAGGAAAUGUCUUUUACUUGAAUAUAAAUAACAACUGUUAGUCUAAUUGUUUACUAUAUACAUUAAUAUAUGUUAAUACAUUAGAAGCUGUCUUGAUAAAAAAAAAAAAAUGCCUCCAAUACCUAUGAGAUUCAAAUUUAAUGAAUUUCUUGACAUAUAAAAAAAUGUAAAUUGAUGGUCUACAAAAUCUCAUAGUUAUAAACAAAAUCAAUUAAAUAGUAAGUACAAUAUCAUAAAAUGUUUUACCAUAUACUCAGUAUUUUCAAAUAGAUUCAAAAUAUAUAUAUUCUCAGAAAUAAAUUUCAAUAAUCUCAGAUACCAAUGAAAUCUUAAUCAAAAUGGGGUACUGUAAUGUAUUUCAUAAUCUCAAAGAAUACUAAUUAUGAGUAACUUGAUAGGAAUUUAGUAGGAUAUUCCAUAAUCUCAAAGAUACCAAUGAAAAUCUUAAUUGGAAUUAGGUAAAAUAUUUUGUAAUCUCAGAUACCAAUGCAUAUCUAAUGCAUAUCUUAAUUAGAAUUUGGUAAAAUAGUCAAUAAUCUCAAAGAUACCAAUUGUAAAUCUAAAUUGGAAUUUGG
rnacentral:lncRNA from 1 species